UCCCACUUGAGAAAGCAGUAAUGGGAAGU
rnacentral:piRNA from 1 species